UACGAAGGGGGCUAGCGUUGCUCGGAAUCACUGGGCGUAAAGCGCACGUAGGCGGAUCUUUAAGUCAGGGGUGAAAUCCCGGAGCUCAACUCCGGAACUGCCUUUGAUACAGCACGUCUUGAGUCCGGAAGAGGUGGGUGGAAUUCCUAGUGUAGAGGUGAAAUUCGUAGAUAUUAGGAAGAACACCGGUGGCGAAGGCGGCCCACUGGUCCGGUACUGACGCUGAGGUGCGAAAGCGUGGGGAGCAAACAGG
rnacentral:rRNA from 1 species